UUUAAUCACCUCUAGAUACCUCCAGUACACCAUUCCAGGUCUAAAUCAAAAAACAUAGCCAUCACUCCAUCCGCCCACAUAUUAGGGUUUUGCUACUUCACCGCUCGAAGGUAUAAUUCUUGAUUAGGGUUUUGCUACUUCCCCAUUUCAAGCGACUCUUAAUCCAUUCAAGCAACGGUAAUGAGUAACCAAUACGCAAGCAGGCAACAAAUUUGAUUUUUCAGAACGUUAUUUUUAUUUGGAGGAAGAAAAUGGCUUUGACUGUGAUGAUUAUUAGGCUUCAGUCUUAUUGAGAUGAUGUCAAACAGCUUCAGUUACGCUAUGCAACAUCACUUAUUGGAGGUCCAUCGACUCCAGCUACUUUUGUGGAUUUAUAUGCUAUUUUGAGCCCACCUUUCCUGAAUUUAUGACAAAGAGAGGCAGGGGCGUAGCUUAGUGUAAAGUGGGGGAUGCACCCGCCCGCCAGUGUUUCGGUUAGAAAUGUAAAAUUUCCUAUUUUUCGUCCAAAAUUUUUAAAAUUAAAUAGGAUUGUCUCCCCAAUUAUUUUGCCUAAAUAUUUAUACAAUAUAUAAAUUGGGUCCCAUGACUUUCCGUCCCCUCGGAACUUUUGGUCAAGCUCCGCCACUGAAGAGAGGUGUCUACACUCUUUUCUAUCCGGUUUGCUUUAGUUCUCAAUCAUAUGAUCAGUUCUACUUUACCGCGUAGUGUUUUUUCCUUCUCAUCUUUUGUUUUUUUACUUUGCAGGGGCUGCAUUUGCUUUUCCAAUUCCCUCUCGGUAUUCCGACUGUUGCCAUAAUCAUGGUUUUAAAAAACGGUUGAGGCGUGCGCCUCGAGGCGCGCCUCAAGGCGAAACGGCCAAAAAACAAUAAUAAACUACUAUUAUUGUUUUUGUAUGUUCCAUCAAGUCACCAAGUUCUUACCAUUGGGGUCUCUAUAAAGCUCUUAGAAUACAUUAGUUAUCAUUUAAUUAACUAUAUACAAAAAUAGAAAAAUGGAUGAGAAGUUUUGUUUGUCGACCAAGCCAACCCUUUUGGCCCACACAAAAACUAACCCGUUUCAGACCAGUUUUUACCCAUCAACUAGCCCACCCAUCUACAAGCUAAUAAUGAUGUUGAAGACUAUUUUUCACUUGAUAUUAUGUUAAUAGAGUCCCCAUCCUUUUAAAUUAUGCUAACAAGAAAUGGAUGGGAUUAUCUAUCUCUAAAGAUACUGUGUGCUUGUAUGGCUAGUGGUCCAUAGGUAGGAUAGAAGACAAGACCAAAAACUACCUGUUUAAUGGUCUCAACUCUCCAAUGAUAAUAUGGCAUCAGUUAUAACUAUAAUACAGGUAUGUUAGUUUAGUUAUGCUAAUUAUGUUUAGGAAAAAACAUUAGUUAUAACUAAAAUAACGGGUAUGUUGGUUUAUUUAUUUUGCUAAUUAUAUUUAGGAAAUAAAACAUUAGUUGUAACUAUAAUAAUGGGCAUGUAAGAAGAAAGAGUUGGAGAAAACUUCAAUAUGUGCUACUCUGUUAUUCUAUGCUGAAUGAUAGAAAAAUAUUGUAGUUGAUAAUAGGGUAUGUUAUAUGAGUUGGGCUGGGUUCUUAAAUUAAAUAAAUCUGAAUAAUUUGUACUUAUCUUUAUUUCCUUUUGUCCCUGUAGGAGCAAGCAGAUGAAUUUGAUAAACUCGUUAUACAAACUAGAAGUGUAUAACUAAGAUUAGAUUUUGUUCUUCCUCAACCAACUUGACCCGUUAUCAGUUUUCUUUAAUUCUGACUUUUGGAUUUUCUUUAUUGGUUGUUUCGUAGAUUGAAAAGGUAAACUUGAUUAUCAAGGAGCUCGUUGAGGGAAAGGAUGGAGAAGAAGAAAAGUUGAAUAGAAUUAUUGCGGGGCCGUCGGCUGAAAAAGAAAAAGAUAAGGUGGAUAAAUAUACUAUGCUCAAUAGGAUAUCACAAGUUGAAGCUAUGUUAACAGCUAUUGUUCUUAGAUAUGUUAUAAACACUUGGUUUUGAAUGUUUCGAUGUUUAUCAUAUUAGGAUAAUUCCAGUGAUUUAACUUUUUAGUUGGUA